AAUUAUUUUUUUGCACGGCGUCCAUGUUUCAUUUUCGCGAGAUGAAGACUAGUUCGCUGUAUCCAGACAGCAGUAUAUUGUUUUGUUUUUCUACAUUUUUGUUUCACUGAAAAGGAUCUGAUGUUAUUACCAUAUUUCCGACGGUCUGAAGGAAGAUGAAUCAAAGGCACCAUGGAGAUAGAUUUCAGAAAAUGUUUCAAUUUUUUUACAUUACUGUUCAUCGGGAUUCGGUUGAUUAUGAUUCUCCACUCACUCCCAUUCAAGGUGGCCUCAUGCCCCCGCGGGGAUUGGGUCCGCGGAUUUUUCCCAUGUAUAAAAUACACGGGGCUCCAUAUAAAAUACACGGGGACCAAAAUCCGGCGGAAAUUCUUUCCUGACGCAUGGAGCUACUUUAUAAUCAAGUACCUAAUAGUGUAUACAAUAUGACUAAGUUACUUUUAUCAAUAAAUCAUAUUUAAAAUGUAAUGUGUUUGUUGUAUUAUAUUAAAUUAAAGAAAAAAUAACAUUUUUCCUACAAAUGAAAGAUAAGAGAUACGGUGUGUAAAUUUUUUUCUCAUAUCAUUC